AUUGAACGCUGGCGGCAUGCCUAACACAUGCAAGUCGAGCGGAUGAAGGGAGCUUGCUCCUGGAUUCAGCGGCGGACGGGUGAGUAAUGCCUAGGAAUCUGCCUGGUAGUGGGGGAUAACGUCCGGAAACGGGAGCUAAUACCGCAUACGUCGUGAGAUAGAAAGUGGGGGAGCUUCGGACCUCACGCUAUCAUAUGAGGCUAGGUCUGACUAGCUAGUUGGUGGCGUAAAGGCCUACCAAGGCGAGGAUCCGUAACUGGUAUGAGAGGACGGUCAGAUACCUGGGAUCUGAGACACGGCCCACACUCCGACGGUGGGCCGCAGCGCGGAAUCUUGGGCGAUGGGGGAAAGCGUGAUCCAGCAAUGCCGGGGGUGUGAAGAAGGUCCUAGGACUGUAAAGCGAUGUAAGUUGGGAGGAAGGACAGUAAUUUUACCCCUGGCUGUAUUGACGUUACCAACAGAAUAAGCACCGGCUAACUCCGUG
rnacentral:rRNA from 1 species